UACGGAGGAUGCAAGCGUUAUCCGGAAUGAUUGGGCGUAAAGGGUCCGCAGGUGGCAGUGUAAGUCUGCUGUCAAAGAAUGAGGCUUAACCUCAUCAAGGCAGUGGAAACUACACAGCUAGAGUACGGUCGGGGUAGAAGGAAUUCCUGGUGUAGCGGUGAAAUGCGUAGAGAUCAGGAAGAACACCGGUGGCGAAAGCGUUCUGCUAGACCUGUACUGACACUGAGGGACGAGAGCUAGGGGAGCGAAUGGG
rnacentral:rRNA from 1 species